UACGUAGGGUGCAAGCGUUGUCCGGAAUUAUUGGGCGUAAAGAGCUCGUAGGCGGUUCGUCGCGUCGGCUGUGAAAACCUGAGGCUCAACCUCAGGCCUGCAGUCGAUACGGGCGGACUUGAGUACUGCAGGGGAGACUGGAAUUCCUGGUGUAGCGGUGAAAUGCGUAGAUAUCUGGAGGAACACCGGUGGCGAAGGCGGCAUCCUGGACCGGUAUUAACGCUGAUGCGCGAAAGCCAGGGGAGCAAACGGG
rnacentral:rRNA from 1 species